rnacentral:rRNA from 1 species
AUUGAACGCUGGCGGCAGGCCUAACACACGCAAGUCGAGCGGAUGAGGGGAGCUUGCUCCUUGAUUCAGCGGCGGACGGGUGAGUAAUGCCUAGGAAUCUGCCUGGUAGUGGGGGAUAACGUUCCGAAAGGAACGCUAAUACCGCAUACGUCCUACGGGAGAAAGCAGGGGACCUUCGGGCCUUGCGCUAUCAGAUGAGCCCAGGUCGGAUUAGCUAGUUGGUGAGGUAAUGGCUCACCAAGGCGACGAUCCGUAACUGGUCUGAGAGGAUGAUCAGACACACUGGAACUGAGACACGGUCCAGACUCCUACGGGAGGCAGCAGUGGGGAAUAUUGGACGAUGGGCGAAAGCCUGAUCCAGCCAUGCCGCGUGUGUGAAGAAGGUCUUCGGAUUGUAAAGCACUUUAAGUUGGGAGGAAGGGCAGUAAGUUAAUACCUUGCUGUUUUGACGUUACCAACAGAAUAAGCACCGGCUAACUUCGUGCCAGCCGCCGCCGUAAGAC